rnacentral:rRNA from 1 species
AAAUUGAAGAGUUUGAUCAUGGCUCAGAUUGAACGCUGGCGGCAGGCCUAACACAUGCAAGUCGAACGGUAACAGGAAGCAGCUUGCUGCUUUGCUGACGAGUGGCGGACGGGUGAGUAAUGUCUGGGAAACUGCCUGAUGGAGGGGGAUAACUACUGGAAACGGUGGCUAAUACCGCAUAACGUCGCAAGACCAAAGAGGGGGACCUUCGGGCCUCUUGCCAUCAGAUGUGCCCAGAUGGGAUUAGCUUGUUGGUGAGGUAACGGCUCACCAAGGCGACGAUCCCUAGCUGGUCUGAGAGGAUGACCAGCCACACUGGAACUGAGACACGGUCCAGACUCCUACGGGAGGCAGCAGUGGGGAAUAUUGCACAAUGGGCGCAAGCCUGAUGCAGCCAUGCCGCGUGUAUGAAGAAGGCCUUCGGGUUGUAAAGUACUUUCAGCGGGGAGGAAGGUGUUGUGGUUAAUAACCGCAGCAAUUGACGUUACCCGCAGAAGAAGCACCGGCUAACUCCGUGCCAGCAGCCGCGGUAAUACGGAGGGUGCAAGCGUUAAUCGGAAUUACUGGGCGUAAAGCGCACGCAGGCGGUCUGUCAAGUCGGAUGUGAAAUCCCCGGGCUCAACCUGGGAACUGCAUUCGAAACUGGCAGGCUUGAGUCUUGUAGAGGGGGGUAGAAUUCCAGGUGUAGCGGUGAAAUGCGUAGAGAUCUGGAGGAAUACCGGUGGCGAAGGCGGCCCCCUGGACAAAGACUGACGCUCAGGUGCGAAAGCGUGGGGAGCAAACAGGAUUAGAUACCCUGGUAGUCCACGCCGUAAACGAUGUCUACUUGGAGGUUGUGCCCUUGAGGUGUGGCUUCCGGAGCUAACGCGUUAAGUAGACCGCCUGGGGAGUACGGCCGCAAGGUUAAAACUCAAAUGAAUUGACGGGGGCCCGCACAAGCGGUGGAGCAUGUGGUUUAAUUCGAUGCAACGCGAAGAACCUUACCUGGUCUUGACAUCCACAGAACAUUCCAGAGAUGGAUUGGUGCCUUCGGGAACUGUGAGACAGGUGCUGCAUGGCUGUCGUCAGCUCGUGUUGUGAAAUGUUGGGUUAAGUCCCGCAACGAGCGCAACCCUUAUCCUUUGUUGCCAGCGGUCCGGCCGGGAACUCAAAGGAGACUGCCAGUGAUAAACUGGAGGAAGGUGGGGAUGACGUCAAGUCAUCAUGGCCCUUACGACCAGGGCUACACACGUGCUACAAUGGCGCAUACAAAGAGAAGCGACCUCGCGAGAGCAAGCGGACCUCAUAAAGUGCGUCGUAGUCCGGAUUGGAGUCUGCAACUCGACUCCAUGAAGUCGGAAUCGCUAGUAAUCGUGGAUCAGAAUGCCACGGUGAAUACGUUCCCGGGCCUUGUACACACCGCCCGUCACACCAUGGGAGUGGGUUGCAAAAGAAGUAGGUAGCUUAACCUUCGGGAGGGCGCUUACCACUUUGUGAUUCAUGACUGGGGUGAAGUCGUAACAAGGUAACCGUAGGGGAACCUGCGGUUGGAUCACCUCCUUACCUUAAAGAAGC